UAUUAGUAAUUACGCCGAUAGCUAUGUUUAGCAGAAAUUAUUAUUUCGAUACUACCAAUUGUAUGGGUUUUUGGUUUAAUUUAUUUCUCCAACUUUUUGGAGCUUGUUCAUGUUUUCGCUCUGUUAAUUCUGUGUUUAACCGCGUUUUUGCAGUUGUUUUAUCUUAUUAUGUUGUUUGGAAACUUCAUUUGGACUCAGGGCAACAAAAUCCCAUAUCUUAAUUUCCAUUAUUGUUAAGUGGGGGAAAAUUUUCUGUAUGAUUAAUUUGCUCAUAAAGUUCUGUAAUCACUUUUGUGUACUAGUAUUCUGAAUCUAAAAUCUAUACGAUUUUUAGGUUCAACAAAGAGAAAUUCUAAAUAAAGAAAAAGAAAAAAAAAAUCGGCCGAGAGCAAGAACUCAUGUGCCCAGUUAUUGACUGUGAUAUGGACUUGGUGAUUGUUUAUCUCGUGGGCGUGAAGAUAAUGAUACUCAUCAAGUUGAGGGAAGUGUUGGUAUUGUAGGCUCAAUGACUGCAUUUUUUGUCACUCUAUGUGCCUGAUGUCUCCGUAUCAUGCCAUCAUGUAUCAGCAAUCUCUUCUAGCUGUAAUGAAUUGAUUGUUGCACAGCCGGUUUAGAGUCAUCAUAUUGGUAUGAGGGAUAUAGGUCUUGUCUAUAUCGGAUAAGCUAGAAACGUCCUGAUGGAAAAGUUAAUUUCUUGAAGAUUCUGCUUUUUGAGGUUUUAACAUUUUAGAUCAAGAAUUGAUAACAUAGUAUUUCCUGAGGAAUUUCAUGCAGUAUUGUAGCAUCAAAUAUUCUUGACAGCAUGUCUGUAGCUCUGAGAUGAUAUGUGUAGUUUGCAGUUUGUGUAUUAUUUAUGAGAAUUAUCUUGUAAUUGUAGCCUCAACAAGUAAUUGUAGAUGAUACUCUAAAUCAAAGGCUAUGCUAAAUUUCACCCA